rnacentral:snRNA from 1 species
GGAGCCGUGUGAUGAUGACAUAGCGAACUAUUCUUUCGCCUUUUACUAAAGAAUACCGUGUCAGCGUCACAAUUAGCGGCAUACGCUAGUUUUUGGAAGAGUUCUCAAUUUUGAGGGCUCUG